rnacentral:misc_RNA from 1 species
AAGUCGUAACAAGGUUUCCGUAGGUGAACCUGCGGAAGGAUCAUUAACACGUAUCCACGUUUUAACAAACACUAUCAACACCAGAAAGAACUGAACUCCCUACUGAUAAAACUGCGUUGGCAGGCGUCGACUAUCAUACCUCGAGUAUGUGCCAAAACAUUAUUAGUAGGCUUACUGACUCUAUUCUCGCGUGGAAGUCAAAUUCCAAUCCUUACCAUCAUAAGGCCGAGUCUAGAACCCCAUAACCUAUUUCACCCUAUUUUACCCAUUUGACUAAUUUCUAUAUUCUUAGGAGAAAUCCUUUGAAUUACUAAGAUUUAUCUUAACUAAGCACAACUCUUAGCAAUGGAUAUCUUGGUUCUC